rnacentral:rRNA from 1 species
AGUGAACGCUGACGGUAGGCCUAACACAUGCAAGUCGAACGGCAGCACAGUAAGAGCUUGCUCUUACGGGUGGCGAGUGGCGGACGGGUGAGGAAUACAUCGGAAUCUACUUUUUCGUGGGGGAUAACGUAGGGAAACUUACGCUAAUACCGCAUACGACCUACGGGUGAAGGCAGGGGAUCUUCGGACCUUGCGCGAUUGAAUGAGCCGAUGUCGGAUUAGCUAGUUGGCGGGGUAAAGGCCCACCAAGGCGACGAUCCGUAGCUGGUCUGAGAGGAUGAUCAGCCACACUGGAACUGAGACACGGUCCAGACUCCUACGGGAGGCAGCAGUGGGGAAUAUUGGACAAUGGGCGCAAGCCUGAUCCAGCCAUACCGCGUGGGUGAAGAAGGCCUUCGGGUUGUAAAGCCCUUUUGUUGGGAAAGAAAAGCAGCAGGUUAAUACCCCGCUGUUCUGACGGUACCCAAAGAAUAAGCACCGGCUAACUUCGU